CAUCCAAUUGACGAAGAGUUUGGCCAUGAUAUAGAGCAAUACUCAAACACGAAUAGUGAUAGGCUUAACCGCAGGGCUGAAUCUAUCAAAAUAAUCAAUCCCAGGCCGCUGAUGAAUUGGCAACGGGGCGAGCCCUAUACCGCUCAACAUUGCCGUUUACGCUUAACCCGAAAGACCCUCUUAGACCCAACAAUCUUUUGAUGAGGAGAUGAUGGUACUAGUUCCCAGGUGCCAUUACGA
rnacentral:lncRNA from 1 species